AGGACGAACGCUGGCGGCGUGCUUAACACAUGCAAGUCGAGCGGAAAGGCCCUUCGGGGUACUCGAGCGGCGAACGGGUGAGUAACACGUGAGCAACCUGCCCCUGGCUCUGGGAUAGCCUCCGGAAACGGGGAUUAAUACCGGAUACAACCACGGCCGACAUCUGCUGUGGUGGAAAGGAUUCCGGCUAAGGAUGGGCUCGCGGCCUAUCAGCUAGUUGGUGGAGUAACGGCCCACCAAGGCGACGACGGGUA
rnacentral:rRNA from 1 species